GCCAGGCGUGGUGGCUCACGCCUGUAAUCCCAGCACUUUGGGAGGCUGAGGUGGGUGGAUCACCUGAGGUCAGGAGUUUGAGACCAGCCUGGCCAACAUGGUGAUACCCCAUCUCUA
rnacentral:SRP_RNA from 1 species